rnacentral:lncRNA from 1 species
AAUGGAAUGCUGUAACUACAGUCUGUUGAAAGAGAACUGCAGGAAUCCACCCCAUAAAUAAAUUAAUCCUGCAUGUGAGCAGAUAGAUAGACCAUCUACUUUUACAAUGAAGAAGACCAGCUGAAGAAGAAGGACCGACAAGACUCAUCAGAAUACAUAUAAGACAAAAGUGCAUCAUGACCUGAAAGAAUAGCUGCAAGAGUCUGCCUGUCAGGUGGAAGUAUCCACUAGAUCUGAUCCUGUGUAUUGGGAGUCUUGUGGAAGGAGUUGUAUUCAAAGAGUCAGUGAUCCUGAGCAAGCCAUGUCUGCUCUGCAGGGUCCUGUACUCAGGGCUUGAAAAGCCCA